ACAACAUUUGAUCGCUGCAAGAAAGGUAAAAUAUGGUCGUCUUUAUCAUAUUUAUAUGUUCAUUAUUAAUCACUAGCAGAAAGACCGCCUUCCGAGCGGUUUUCUGCUGGUCACUUGGUAAUAUUUUCACAUUUGGUCGCAAUUCUAAUGAUUUUUAUAUUAUGUUACGUCUAAUUAUUUUUGUAUAAUAGUGCUCACUUGCUUAGUAAGUAUUUCCUUCAUUAUUCUAUCAGUCAUAAUCUCUCUGUUUUUAAACAAACGUCACGUUAGUCCAGCAACAGUGUGAGAAGCAGUUUGUCAAGUUUUACCUUCCCCUCAACACAACAGAGAUUUCAGUUCAGCAGCCCAUCUAUAAGCUUUACAAUGUGUUUCAGAGAGAGAAGGUUUUCUGCGAUUUUACGCCACGUCCACCUUCAGAUUGGCCUAAAAUACGGUUUCUUUGAAAUUUGGACUGUUCCAAGGCUUCUUUUGUAUGUAGCAUGUUUAAACAAUCACAUAUAGGGCCUGAAACAUAAAAAUAUCCAUUGAUAAAAAAUAUAAACAUUUUCAAGCUCAAAUAAACAUAAAACAAUGUUUAAUGCAGUGUCUAUGUACUUCUGUCAUGACUGUGUAUAUGUUGAAUGUUUACUGUUGUACGCUAGUCUCAACUGUACUAAUAACCAUUUCAGUCUAUCUCAGACAGUUCAAGGGUGAAAACUUUAGCUGGAAGAAUCUUUUAGGAGUCGUAGUUUCGUGUUUGUCACUUCAGGCGUGUAUAAUGGCAGAAAAAGUGUGAUUUACAUAAAUCACAAGAUUCACAUAAAUCGGACCAAGAAUAGCGUAUGUCGAUGUCGAACAAUGGAUCACUGAUAUACUGACAUUACUGCUACAAAAUCUGUUAGUCCAGUUGUCUUCUGUCCAGGAUGGAAUAUAUAUGCCACGGAGGCCAGGAGACUAGCACUUUCGAGACAAGCACUUUCAAUCUGUAUGAAAUAUAUAGACAUAUGUUUGUGUGUGUGCCUGUGUGUGUUUGUGUUUGUAUGUGCGUUCGUAUGUGUGUUUGUGUGCGUAUGUAUUUAUGUGUGCAUAUAUAUGACCCAGGAACAUUCUUAAACUCAAAGAAAGAACUUUUUAGCCGGCGCUUUUACCUUAAAUGUGCCCUCCUACAAGCUUAGAAACCCCUCCCCCCACCAGGUGUUUGAUUAAAAAAACGAAAAGAACACAAGCAUCUUAGAAUAUUGUCGCCGGCGAAGGUGAUGUAGAGGAUGUAUUCCAGUAUCGCAUAUGGAGAACCAAGCUCGAACUUUGUGUGUAUUCAUAUAUAGUUUUCUAUAUAUAGUUUACUAUGGAACCUUGGGGCUCUCUGUCUCUAUUUAAUGAAAGGCGGUAUGUGUCACCAGAGAUUUGAGUCAGAAGCGACGCCUAUUCAUCUUAGCGAUUGAUGGGUUCGAAGGUUCGAAAGCAAUCACUCUCUGACUAACCAUAAUAACCAAACUUAAUAAUAAAUAAUUAAGUAUUUUGUUUAUUUUCGUAAACCUUCCCGUUAUAUAUAUAUAUAUAUAUAUAUAUAUAUAUAUAUAUAUAUAUAUACACAUAUGUAUAUAUAUGAGGGUGUAAUACGUAUGUAUAUUUGUAAGCGUAAUUUUGAUUUGGAUGUUCCAUUGGUUAAAGGUGUUUCCAAUUCUAUUUCAGAUAUCUUUCUCCAAGUGAUAAACGAUGAAUUCCAAAAUAAUCUUCUUCUGUCUGCUUGUUGCAGCCACACAAGUAUAUUCUAUUAACAAUGAGGAAAUAUGCUUUGGAAGAUGCUUAGCUUGUUAUCAAGUCAGCUCAAUGUAUUGUGUAAUGGACAUAAAGAGACCAACAAGCGUUGAAGGUUGCAUUAAGUAUGUAUAGCGUUUUGAAUGGAAAUUCACCUCAUUAAAAAUACCUGUAUUCAUUAAUAUUAAAAUAUCAUUCAUAAUUUAGGUUUAACGUAAUUGAUACACGCACACACGCAUGCACACACACGCAUGCACACACAGACACACACACACACAUAUAUAUAUAAUCCAUAAUAUCGUACAAACAAGUACGUAAAUUAUUUACAUUUGUCCUCAUCUUGUUUGUUGAAUGUGGAACCUGGGUUCUCAUUCCUAACGUAUUUUUCGAUGUUAUCAUUAUCAUAAUAAUGCUUGGAAUCGAACUCGGCAUCUUGGGGUUAGUAGUCCAUGCUCUUAACCAUUAGAGCGGAUAGUAUACUUUUGAGGUAGUUGUUGCUUAACAGAUCAUUAUUGAGCUUGAUCAUUUCUUCGUGGUGUGUUUCAGGAUCACUACUUAUAUUCUUUCCACGAUGUUUUAGGCACUGAGAAAUCCCUCUCUUUACACUGUAUGGAUAGUGGGAAUUGAAGUUGAGGUAUAGUCCAGUAAAUGUCGGCUUGUGGUAUACGGAUGUUCUGAAUCCAUACUUGGUGCGUUUUAUUAAUACGUAGGCAUGCCAGCUGAUUGCCAUCAACAUAUAGGUGUCAUCAACAUAUCGUAGCCAUGUUGUUGGUUUUAGUGGUGUUGAUCCUAAAACCAAACUCUCAAAGUAUUCCAUGUAUAUAUUGCCUAUUACCGGUGAUAAUGGCGAACCCAUAGCAAAACCCUCUGAUGUCGUUACAUAACAACUUCCUAUGUUUCAUCCAUCAGUCUUCUCAGCAGAUUCGAGAAUAGAGUCGUGGUCUUCUUGCAUUUUAUGUUUACGGCAUCAAUAAAUACAACAAAAGCCCGAAACAAUAGAUCAGCAUAAUUACUAAACAGCAGACAUGAUGUUUUAUGGUAGCCUCCUUCAUCGAUUCUUUGAAGCAAACAGGCUGUGCACAAUGUGAAUUAAGGCAUUAAACAGAAAUAUAAAUUAGAUGAUGUCAUAUAUUAUGCCUUCAUUUAUUGUUUAGUACAAAGAUUUUCGGUUGGCCCACAAUGUAGACAACAAGAAAUGGAACAAUCUGAUCUGUGCUCAAAAAAGAAAUGGAAUUGUGGUAGCGUACACAAACAGGAAUCUGCUGGGUAAUAUACUUUAUUGAUGUAGCAAUGUUGUUGAUAUAGCAGCAACAUCCUAAGUAUGCAGUUUUAGUUGAAUAUUCAUUUCUGUUAAUCUUUUAAGAUAGUUCUGAUUUCUAAUAUUUUCAGGCUUGUCAACGCAGUACAGUCGUGACAAUGUUGAAAUGUCACAUCAAAAAAUUUACAAAUAUUUUGUUAUCUAGUAUUUUGACGCUAGUGGUAUCUAGUAUAUUGCACGGGUUUAAGUGUCAACCGUGGGUUGUACGAUGCAGUAUUGCUUUUGAUGCGUGAUAAAUAUGAUAUAAAUGUGAUUCUGUGUAGUUCAUCACCAGGACAGAAAUUGAAUAUCGAUAGCAUUUCUCAAGCUUAAAUAUCGAGGGAAAAUAUUCGCGUUAUCGAAUGUUUUCCCACAUUUAAUUUCCAUCCCAAAUAUAUUGUUAAAGUUUGUUGGAAUAUUAUUUUUUUUAAAUGCUACAAAACAAUUUAAACAAUUUGACAGACGUCUUUCUCUGGUUAAGAAAUGUACUUCUCAACCACAUAUUUUCUAAGUGGCUUUAUUACAAAGAAACUGUAUGGAUCUCUUCUUGUACACAUGCACACGCACACACACACACAACAAGCACAUAUAUUUAUACAUCUAAACAUACCUGUACGCAGACGUAUACACAUACACACACACAUAUAUAUAUAUAUAUAUAUAUAUAUAUAUAUAUAUAUGUAUGUAUGUAUGUAUGUGUAUAUAUAUAUAUACAGGAUCAGAUGGAGGAUUUUCCACCAUGAGAAAUAUAAUAAUAAAAUAAACCAACAACACACUGGGGAAACGAUCCGUAAUAGAAUUGGAAGCACCUAUGAAGAAAUAUUAAAACUAACAGGCACUACAUUUAAAUCUAGAAAGUCUCCUCCACCAAAUAUACAUCUAGACAAUUUUGAACAAGAACUAUGGGAGACUGUAAAAAACAUAAAAUUUAGAAAUCAUCCUUUAAGAUAUAACCCGCACCAAAGAGAAUUGAAAGACUUAAUUAGAACUCUCAAAGGUAAGAGCGGCAUUCUAACACAUUCUGACAAAACCAACAACAUCUACAACAUUGACAUUACUGCAUAUCAUGAUCUUCUACACAAGGAAAUAACCAAGAAAUACAAAGUAGUACCUUCUAGUACACUUAGAAAACUGAACCUGGAGAUCAGAGAAAUCAUAUUUGACUACUACCUAGAAGAAAAAACGGAACCCUACACCCCAUCUAGACCGAGAAUUACACUAAAGGAUCAUAAAGAGAAUUUUCUUGGAAACACACAGGUCAGAUUAAUUUGCCCCACUAAAUCUGACUUAGGAGGACUAAGUAAACUCAUUCUAGAUAAAUAUCUACCCACCAUCCGCAAUAAAAUCAAACUAAACCUUUGGAAGAAUACUCAGGGUGCUUUGGAUUGGUUUUCUGCCAUUAAGGUCUGUGACAGUAACAACUUUAGCUAUAAUAGAAAUAAAUUUAUACAAUUCGAUAUACAGAAUUAUUACACUUCCAUUAACCCUAUUAUAUUAAAUAAGUCCUUAAUUUUUGCUAGAAAACACACUAAAUUAAGUAUGGAGGAGAUUAAGGUUAUACUAACAGCCAGGAAAACUUUAAUAGAGUUUGAUAAUAAACUUUGGGCUAGAAAGGACACACCCAACUUGUUCGAUAUCACAAUGGGAUCGCCGGACUCAGCGAAGGUGACUGAUCUAGUUGGGAUGUAUCUAUUAGAUAACUUUAGUAGGGAAUUCCCUGAGUUAAAAGGUGGAUUAUACAGGGAUGACGCCUUAUUUUGUGUUAGGAAUACAUCAAAUAGGAGAUUAGAUCUUCUGAAAAAAAGAAUAAAUAAAUUUUUUAAAAGCUUCGGCCUAUCCAUUAUCAUUGAAAGUGAAAAUUUUUCUGCUAAUUAUUUAGAUGUUAAUUGUAACAUUACUAAUGGUUUACAUGAACCCUAUAUUAAACCUAAUUCUAACCUAAUAUACAUUAACCGUUCUAGUAAUCACCCCCCUCAAAUUAAAAAUGCACUAGUGCGUAGCAUUAGUCAGAGAAUUUCUAGUUUAUCCUCAAACGAGGAAAUUUUUAACAAACACUGUGAUAGAUACAAUGCAGCAUUGCUUAAGGCAGGAUAUAAAAGUAAGAUUUGGUUUAUACCUAAGGUGAACCCCCUAAUGGAGGUAGAACUAUCAGGAACAACACAAAUAGAUUUAGGAUAAUCAACAAUAUACAUAAGAAUAGUAAAAAUAGAAUAUAUGAUAACACCUAUAAUAAAUGUAGAAGUGACGUUAACCUUGGAAAGGUGAACGGUAGCUCAAAUAGAUCUAAACAUACGGGUAAUAGUAGUAAUAUUAAUAAUAAUAUACGAAUUAAAACUUAUGGUAGACAUGAUAAUGGUAAAGUUUACUUGCGCAAUAACCAUGGUAAUAUUGAUAUAGAUAGAUAUAACAAUGACAGUGGUAAGAAUAGUAAUCCUAUGAGUUGGUCUACGAAUAGGAUUUUUACAAAUAACAUUAAUUCUAUAGGCAAUCCUAAUUCUGAUAAGGAUACUCUUUGGUUGAUUAUCCCGUAUGCAAUGCAGAUUAAAACAAACAUAGUGAGAGCUUUGCAUAAUGUUAUUUUUAGGCAUUUUGGUAAGGAUAGGAAUAAAUUUAGUCCUUUAAUUAACAACGGUACUGUUAGAGUGGGAUAUAGCAUUACUCAUAAUCUAGCCACCAUUAUCUCCUCUUUUAAUAACAAGAAACUGGAUCACUUCUAUAAGGAUAGAAAAUUGAAUUUAGACCAGGAAAACUUGCCCCUCUUCAUUAAUAAUAGGAAUAGAAACUUUCUUGGAACAAAUGGGAACAACCUCCUUACUAAUAAUGAGUGCACCAUACCUGUCAGAGAUAAUAUAAAUGUAAUAGAUCAUACUACUACUACCAAUACUAGUACUAGUGAUAGGAAUAUAGCCGAUAAUGUGAAAUUAACUCAUUCGUUGAUUUUGGGUUUGGAUGAUGAUAACAAUUGUAACACUUAUAAUGUGAAUAGUAGUAUAGGGGUGGUGUCCAAUCUUAGAUUUCCUCAUUCUGUUAAUCUUUGUAAUUGCAGAAAUAAAAAUAAAUGUGUAUUUGGUAAUCAAUGCCUCAGGAAGGAGGUAGUUUACCAAUGCACUGUAGAUACACAAUUGAGUAGUAGGGUGUAUAUCGGGGCAACUAUGAAUAGCAUAAAACAAAGAUGGAAUUAUCACAGAUAUACUUUUAGGAAUAAAAAUAGAAUGUACUCUACAGGGCUAAGUGCAUACAUUUGGGAACUUAAAAGUAAGAACUUAGAUUUUAGAUUAAACUGGAAAAUACUAACUUCAGCACCUGUGUAUAAUGGAAAAAAUAAAAAAUGCUCUCUAUGUAUUAAUGAAAUUUUCUUCAUUAUUAAAGCGGGUCGGCAAAUUAUUAACAACAUUAAUGAAAAAAACUUCUUUUGUACUCAUAGGCUACCGUUCACCUUUUCUAGAUUCAAAUAGAACUUAGCACUUCCACUAUUAUUAAUUUUUUAAUUCCCUUCUUUAACUAAAUAUACCUGUGGUCUUCUAUAAUUCUAAAGUAUACAAUUUAUAAAUUUCAUAAUUUUAUAAUUUUUAUAGCUACAUUUGUAUAAUAAUUAAUGGAUGUGUCUAGUAUUAUUGGUUUCAUGGUUUUUGUAUGUGGGUUUUUGUUUGUUUUUUAAGAGAAAUGCAAUAUGACAUAUAAUAACAUAUUCAUUUUGGUAUUUGCCUUGUAAUGUGUGAUUUUUGAAGUUUUCCAAUAUUGCAUAGUAUAUUUCAUAGUAUAUAUGUAUAUCUUGGUUAGAUACCUAGCUCUGGAUAAUGUAAUGAUAUUGUAUAAUAUGUAAUAUAUGAGAGCCUUUUGUGAGUUUGGUGGGUUUAGGUUGAGAUUAUAGGUUUUUUGUAUGUGUUUAUUUGGAAGGUUUUUAUUAUUUUAUUAUAUAAUUGGUCUUUUUGUACUCACCUUAAUUUGUAUCUUAUGCUAUUCACUGAUAAACCUUUUUCAUUUUUUUCAUUUUCUCAUUUACAUGCAUUUUGCUUUAUAAUUAUUACCAGCCUCAUAUAUUUAGUUUAUAUCUAUAGUCCUCUGGAUCUGUACUUUAAACUAUCCUUCCAUACAUAUUUACUUUCAACAAUAUAACAUAUAUAUUCACUUUAUUUAUUUUUAUUUAUUUUCCAUUUUAUUGUAAUAAUAUUAUCAAUCUUUGCAUCUAGUCUUCUAUUUAUUUAUUUAUUUGCCUAUUUAAGUGUAGAUGUUUACAUACAUAUCAAGUCAUCUAAUUUGUUACCUAUUUAUUUUUUACUUAUUGACUUAUACUGGUGUAGUUUUAUACAUACAUAUCUAUCAUUUAUUUUUAUUUAAUUUUAAUAAUAUAUGAAUACAUAUAUACUAGUUUGUACUUAUAAUUAUGUGUAUAACCGUAUUUAUUCCUUCGUAUUUACUCCUUCUUAUUUAUUUUAUCUCUUUUCAUCUUAAGUCUUUAUAAUAUAAAAUUUAUUUAAAAUUUCUGUGAUGUUCUCAUAAGCGUUUACAUUAAUACUUCCCCUUCUAUUCUUUAAUGCCUAAACUGGUAUAUUAUGGCACUAUAUUUAUUAAGUUAAUAAGUGACUUAUUUAUAAUAUUUAAAUUAAUAUAUAUUUUAUAUUUUAUAUUUUAUAAUUUAGCGUACUUAAAAUCAUAACAAACUUACGAUAAACCUAACAACCGUAUGUUUACUCUGCAACAAACCGGUGUUAUAAAUUUUAAGUUACCCAUGAAAUAAUUAUCUGAAUUAGUAACAUACUGAUAUUUAAAAAUAUAUUUAUAUCUAAAUUAAAUAUUUUAUAGAAUGCAUCGAUGGUUCUUUUUUUGUUAUUGAGGCUCAGUUAUAAUUUUGAAGGACUAAAUGUUAGCAUAGUUGCUUCCCUUUUUGUUUAUCUAAGUGCUAGUUGUUGCUUGUGAUUAUGUAUGUGUAUAUGUGUAUGUAUAUACAUAUAACUAUGUGUGUAUGUGCGAUUGAUCUGUAGAUGCGUGUGUGAAUAUUGGCGUUCCCUGACUAACCAACCGUAUAAUUUUCUUUUGUGAUUUAAAUUUCAAACCAAUAGCCAAUCGAAUUAAUCUAAUUUUUCUUUACCUAGUGGUCAGCAUUUCUUAACUCAUAGUUAUUUCGAUCUUGAAAGGAUGGACUUGGUGCUAACUUAACUGUAUCUAUUUUUAUUAUUUUUUUUUAUUAUUAUUAUUAUUAUUAUUAUUAUUAUUAUUAUUAUUAUUAUUAUUAUUAAUAGUAAUUUUUAUUAACUUUUAUAGCUUUAGAAUUUUAUGAACUGUACCACGGAUUUAAUUAUUAUUUUUCAUCUCCAUAUGUGUUAGCCUUUUUUUUUAUAAAAAAAACUAUUAGCCAAAUAUGUAUAAUAUCGGUACUUAUUAAUAUUAAUAUAUACACUGUUAUAUAUUUUGUUUUAUUUUGUUCUGUUUACCUUCCUUUUUGUACAAAUGUGUAUUAUAUUAUAUAAGUGUAGCAUUAUGAUGUAUAAGUUUUUAUAUUUUACAUUUUUAUAUUUUUAUAUUUAUAUGUAUAUGAUUAUAUAAUAUUUUUCACUAUUAUAACAAAUUUAAUUUAAUUCUCUGAAGAGGCCGUGGGGCAUCCUUGUUAAUGCCUCAUUUAUACCUGCUUUUAUGGCUUAUAGGUUAAAUGAGGUAUGACUGUCCUCACUGCCGAAACAGCUGUCAGUUUUGAUUUAUUUGCAUAUUAUAUUUGAAAUUUUUUACUUAUAUCUAUUUAUCUUUUUACUAUUACUGUAUAUCUCGUUUCAUUUUAUAUAUUGCCUUUACUCAUAUGUAAUGGUGUAUUAAAGUAUGGAUUGAGUAUCAUCGGAUAGUUGAUGUUUUACUGAUUUAAGUAUGUUUCUCCAUUCUCUAAUUUUGUAGUAUAUAUAUAUAUAUAUAUAUAUAUAUAUAUAAUAUUAUAUAAUUAGGGCUUAGUAAAAUAAAUUACUUUGCCACAUACUGAACUUUCUAGAAAUAGUAGCCAAAAAUGUUUUUUAGCCAUUUCCACUACUUAAAGAAAAUUUCUCUCAGAUAAUGUUUACUCAAAAUAACUCACGAAGGUAUGGAGGUAAAAACCGAAAAAUAUCACAAGUACAAAGAUUAUUUGAGAACGUUAACGUUUCUAGAUUAGCAAAAUAAACUCAGCAUUUCUUUCGUCAGCUCAACAUUUCUUAUUUUGGAUUUUAGUGCUUCCAAAUCCAAAAUAAGAAAUGUUGAGCUGACGAAAGAAAUGCUGAGUUUAUUUAGCUAAUCUAGAAACGUUAACGUUCUCAAAUAAUCUUUGUACUUGUGAUAUUUUUCGGUUUUUACCUCCAUACCUUCGUGAGUUAUUUUGAGUAAACAUUAUCUGAGAGAAAUUUUCUUUAAGUAGUGGAAAUGGCUAAAAAACGUUUUGGGCUGCUAUUUCUAGAAAGUUCAGUAUGUGGCAAAGUAAUUUAUUUUACUAAGCCCUAAUUAUAUAAUGUAAUAUUUUGAAUUCGCCUUAAAUGGUCCUUUUACAUACUGAAUACUUGGUGAAAUUUGAUUAAUAACUAAUUAAUUUUACCCUCAAUUGUUGAUAUAUAUAUAUAUAUAUAUAUGCGAUAUAAUAUAAUAUGAUACAUAUGUGCUUGACAUCCUAUUAUUUGGUAACUGCUGUUGGUUUAUGAUAUAACAGUGUAGUGUAAAUGAGUAUCUAAAAUAUUUAUCACACCUUGGAAUCGUUUGUAUGAAACGGAUUGUAUCCCCAAUGCAUUCCUUUAAGAAUUUAUUGAACUAAAGCAUUAACUUAAAGGUAUUAAGGCUCACUAGAAUGUUUUGCCCUACACGACAAUUUACAUCUACACACAUUCACAAACAAACACUGUGUACCCGCACACAUUGUUUCCUACACACGCACACAUACUUCCUAACACACACACAAACUCCCAUGCGCACACAUGCAUGUGCUCACACAAGCAGGCGUUGCUCAUGUGCGCGCCCACACGCCCAUAUACCAACGCACACAUUAGCCCCUUACUCACACACAUGUGUUCGUACACACAAAUAUAUGCCAGGGCAAUUUUAUCUACCUUGCCUCCCAUGCAUCAGGCCAGCUUAAUUUCUCUUUCAGUUAUUUUAGCAUGCUUUGACCGUUCAGUUCAGGCUUUUUUUCUCUCCUUAUCUAUCCUUUCUGUAGAAGAGCAUUUGUUCGAAAUAUUAAAAACUACUUCCAUUUUUCUUCAACAUUAAAAUAAUAUAUUCUGCUUGUUAUUCUUCCACUUCGUGAUUGUAGGUUUUGUUUUUGUAUGUUUGGUCCAUAUAAAUGCGUGUGUCUAUGUGUAUAUCUAUAUAUAUAUAUGUAUAUAUAAAUGUAUAUAUAUAUAUGUAUAUAUGUAUGUACAUAUAUAUACACAUAUGUAUGUAUGCAAGAUUGUAUGUAUAGUAUAUGUAUAGGUUUGUGUGCUUGUGAGUGUGAGAAAGAUGUUAUAGUAUGCAUGAACAAUUACAUAUCAGAACCUAUCGACGUAUAUCUAUCUCUCUUCAUUUGAAAGUGGAAAUUGAAUGUACUGAUAAUUUAUUGAAAUCAUAGAUCGUCUUCAGUUCAGAUAUGUUUACGUUGUUCUUUACAUACCUUAAAUUCUAGCUCUGUGAAAAAAUUAAUCUUAGCAUAUUAUUCCUUUAUAAAUCAUUGUUGCUUUUACAUUUCAGCUUCUGUGUUCCGGAAGCUCGAAAAAUUAUCAGUGGUAUAGAAAGCUGCAAGACCGACGCAAACAAGUUAAAAUGCGUCGAUGCAAUAGUACGCCAGAAUUGAAAUUCCUGAAAAUAUAGGUAAUAAUGCCGGUUUUAAUAUAGUUGUAAUUUAAUGCAACACAAUAUAUCACAUUUAGAAAGACCUACUAUUAUUAACAUGUUUAUGUAUUUAUCAGACAUAGAAGGGAUUACCUUUUGAGCAACACCGAGAUUACUUGGAAAGUUAGUAUUAGAAGAGACCUAAUGUGGAAUCUUACAGUAAGCUUUGUUAUUGGCGUCCAUCAGCUACGCAUAGGAUCCACCCCUCACCACCACCAACAGAUAUUUAAACAAUUCCUGUUACCCUAUUUUAACUUACAAGAAUUUAGCCGGUGAAAGUCAACAGCAGAAGACACUUGCCUAAGGUACUGCGAUGUGAUACCGAAUCUGGAAUCCUGUAGAUACGAAUCAAACUUGCUAACCAUACAACUAUGCCCGUGCUCACUUAUAAUAAAAUGCAAUUCUUUAUCUU
rnacentral:lncRNA from 1 species